GAUGAACGCUGGCGGCGUGCCUAAUACAUGCAAGUCGAGCGAACAGAUAAGGAGCUUGCUCCUUUGACGUUAGCGGCGGACGGGUGAGUAACACGUGGGUAACCUACCUAUAAGACUGGAAUAACUCCGGGAAACCGGGGCUAAUGCCGGAUAACAUUUAGAACCGCAUGGUUCUAAAGUGAAAGAUGGUUUUGCUAUCACUUAUAGAUGGACCCGCGCCGUAUUAGCUAGUUGGUAAGGUAACGGCUUACCAAGGCAACGAUACGUAGCCGACCUGAGAGGGUGAUCGGCCACACUGGAACUGAGACACGGUCCAGACUCCUACGGGAGGCAGCAGUAGGGAAUCUUCCGCAAAGGGCGAAAGCCUGACGGAGCAACGCCGCGUGAGUGAUGAAGGUCUUCGGAUCGUAAAACUCUGUUAUUAGGGAAGAACAAAUGUGUAAUUAACUGUGCACGUCUUGACGGUACCUAAUCAGAAAGCCCCGGCUAACUACGUG
rnacentral:rRNA from 1 species